UUGACCUCAAAUCAGGUAGGACUACCCGCUGAACUUAAGCAUAUCAAUAAGCGGAGGAAAAGAAACUAACAAGGAUUCCCCUAGUAACUGCGAGUGAAGCGGGAAAAGCUCAAAUUUGAAAUCUGAUGGUUCUUGACCGUCCGAGUUGUAAUCUAGAGAAGUGUUACCUGUGCUGGACCGUGUUCAAGUCUCCUGGAAUGGAGCAUCAUAGAGGGUGAGAAUCCCGUCUUUGACAUGGACUGCCUGUACGCUGUGGUGCGCUCUCAAAGAGUCGAGUUGUUUGGGAAUGCAGCUCAAAAUGGGUGGUAAAUGCCAUCUAAAGCUAAAUAUUGGCGAGAGACCGAUAGCGAACAAGUACCGUGAGGGAAAGAUGAAAAGAACUUUGGAAAGAGAGUUAAACAGUAUGUGAAAUUGCUGAAAGGGAAACGCUUGAAGUCAGUCGUGUCGGCCAGAAAUCAGCCUUGCUUUUGCCUGGUGUACUUUCUGGUUCGGUGGGUCAGCAUCAAUUUUGGCCAUUGGACAAAGUCUUUGGGAAUGUGGCAUCUUUGGAUGUGUUAUAGCCCAUUGUCGCAUACGAUGGUUGGGAUUGAGGAAUUCAGCACGCCUCGCAAGGGGCCGGGUAUUUUUACCACGUUCGUGCUUAGGAUGCUGGCAUAAUGGCUUUAAUCGACCCGUCUUGAAACACGGACCAAGGAGUCUAACAUGCCUGCGAGUGUUUGGGUGGAAAACCCAUGCGCGCAAUGAAAGUGAAAGUUGAGAUCCCUGUUAAAGGGGAGCAUUGACGCCCGGACCAGACCUUUUGUGACGGAUCCGCGGUAGAGCAUGUAUGUUGGGACCCGAAAGAUGGUGAACUAUGCCUGAAUAGGGUGAAGCCAGAGGAAACUCUGGUGGAGGCUCGUAGCGAUUCUGACGUGCAAAUCGAUCGUCAAAUUUGGGUAUAGGG
rnacentral:rRNA from 1 species